AGGGAAUCUUCCGCAAUGGACGAAAGUCUGACGGAGCAACGCCGCGUGAGUGAUGAAGGUUUUCGGAUCGUAAAGCUCUGUUGCCAGGGAAGAACGUCCUGUAGAGUAACUGCUACAGGAGUGACGGUACCUGAGAAGAAAGCCCCGGCUAACUACGUGCCAGCAGCCGCGGUAAUACGGAGGGGGCAAGCGUUGUCCGGAAUUAUUGGGCGUAAAGCGCGCGCAGGCGGCUGUUUAAGUCUGGUGUUUAAUCCUGGGGCUCAACCCCGGGUCGCACUGGAAACUGGACAGCUUGAGUGCAGAAGAGGAGAGUGGAAUUCCACGUGUAGCGGUGAAAUGCGUAGAGAUGUGGAGGAACACCAGUGGCGAAGGCGACUCUCUGGGCUGUAACUGACGCUGAGGCGCGAAAGCGUUGGGAGCAAAC
rnacentral:rRNA from 1 species